rnacentral:rRNA from 1 species
UACGAAGGGGGCUAGCGUUGCUCGGAAUCACUGGGCGUAAAGGGUGCGUAGGCGGGUCUUUAAGUCAGGGGUGAAAUCCUGGAGCUCAACUCCAGAACUGCCUUUGAUACUGAAGAUCUUGAGUUCGGGAGAGGUGAGUGGAACUGCGAGUGUAGAGGUGAAAUUCGUAGAUAUUCGCAAGAACACCAGUGGCGAAGGCGGCUCACUGGCCCGAUAUUGACGCUGAGGUGCGAAAGCGUGGGGAGCAAACAGG